rnacentral:rRNA from 1 species
AGCGAACGCUGGCGGCAGGCUUAACACAUGCAAGUCGAGCGCCCCGCAAGGGGAGCGGCAGACGGGUGAGUAACACGUGGGAACAUGCCUUUGGUUCGGAACAACCCAGGGAAACUUGGGCUAAUACCGGAUAAGCCCUUACGGGGAAAGAUUUAUCGCCAAAAGAUCGGCCCGCGUCUGAUUAGCUAGUUGGUGGGGUAAUGGCCCACCAAGGCUACGAUCAGUAGCUGGUCUGAGAGGAUGAUCAGCCACAUUGGGACUGAGACACGGCCCAAACUCCUACGGGAGGCAGCAGUGGGGAAUAUUGGACAAUGGGGGCAACCCUGAUCCAGCCAUGCCGCGUGAGUGAUGAAGGCCUUAGGGUUGUAAAGCUCUUUUAGCAGGGAAGAUAAUGACGGUACCUGCAGAGAAAGCCCCGGCUAACUUCGUGCCAGCCGCCGCCGUAA